UGGGGGAUAUUGCACAAUGGGCGAAAGCCUGAUGCAGCGACGCCGCGUGGGGGAUGAAGGCCUUCGGGUUGUAAACUUCUUUUGCUCUGAACAAGGCAUGCCUUUGGGGUGUGUUGAGUGUACGGGUUGAUUAGCGCCGGCUAACUACGUGCCAGCAGCCGCGGUAAUACGUAGGGCGCGAGGGUUGUCCGGAAAUAUUGGGCGCAAAGGGCUUGUAGGUGGCUGGUUGCGUCUGUCGUGAAAGCUAAUGGCUUAACUGUGGGGUUGCGGUGGGUACGGGCUGGCUUGAGUGCAAUGGGAGAGGGUGGAAGUCGUGGUGUAGCGGUGGAAGGCGAAGAUAUCAGGAGGAAUACCGGUGGGGAAGGCGGGUCUCGGGGCUGUUACUGACGGUGAGGAGCGAAAGCGUGGGGAGCGAACAGG
rnacentral:rRNA from 1 species